rfam:Camelus ferus unplaced genomic scaffold scaffold1360, whole genome shotgun sequence.
ACAGGUAUAGCUCAGUGGUAGAGUGCAUGCACGAGGACCUGGGUUCAAUUCCCAGUACCUCCA